AAACUGAUCGUUCCCGUUCACUGCUUCCUGCCCUGAUAUCUGUUGGACUUCUGGGGUUAUUAAUCAUAAUAUUAGCAUUUGUGUGGAUUUGGCUGAAAAAGCAAAAAGUGUCUGAAACUGAGGAACUGACUUACACUGAUGUGAAAAUUUCAGCUCACAGUGCAGAGAGAGUUAAAGAGGAAGAAAACUCGAGAAUAACGCCUGUUGAAGCAGAGCCUGACUCAGUGGUGUAUUCACAUGUGAAGUGAUCCAUAUAAUUCAUCACAUCACAAUAUCCUUUUAAUUAUUUUCACGAGUUGUGCUGAGAAAUCCUGCAGGGUUGGGGCAUGUCUUCAGGCAUCAGUGUUUAAUAUUAGUGUAAUAUUUGCAUGCUGUCAUUAUAUAAUCAUG